AGUGCUCCUGCUGACCUUCCGUGUCUGCAGCCCGGCUUUGGACUGUGGAGAUGCCCUCAGCCUCUACUCAGUGGCUCCAGCCUCAUAUUUGCGUGCUAUACCUUUAACCUCAAGUCCUCUUGCUGCUAACUUAAGCUGCGACUGUCCAGGACCUGCACACACACACACAUGCACGCAUGCACACACACACACACAGAAGGUGAACACACAGGAUGAGGCCCUGAAAACUCAUUUCACCCGUGUACCUCACCCAAAAAUUCCCCUUUGUACUCCUAUCUUUAUCUCUAACUGACAGCAUGAAGGUAGCCCGAAGUCCCCUCACCCUGUCUGUCCUCCUGAUUCUCUAGCCCAGUUCCCUCUAGCUCCAGCACAGACUCUUAUCUCCAGCCCUGACUGCCGAAACCCUCCAGCCCCAGCUCCAGCCCCUCAGGAGGGGACUGCGUGGGAGGAAUGACUCCAGCAAGCCGGCAGCUGACCCGUCUCCUGCCUGCACGCCUCCCGCUGUGGUCCACUGCCGGUGGUCUUCAGCUCUCUCCUCGUCCCACCCCCAUGGUCUGCUGACAGCCCAGCUCAGUGCAUCCCUGCCAUCUCUGCUCUACCGCUGGUCCUCCCAACAACCAACUUACAGGGUUUCACUCCCGUCACCCAGACUGGAGUACAAUGGUGCGAUCUCAGCUCACUGCAACCUCUGCCUCCUGGGCUUAAGCGAUUCUCCUGCCUUGGCCUCCCAAGUAGCUGGGAUUACAGGUGCCUGCCACCACUCCUGGCUAAUUUUUGUAUUUUUUGUAAAGGCGGAGUUUCUCCAUGUUGCCCAGGCUAGUCUCAAACUCCUGAGCUCAAGCAAUCCACCCGCCUCGGCCUCCCAAAUAAGUGGAAUUAUAGGUGUGAGCCACCACGCCGGCCCUGAUGUAUCAAUAUUAAAACAUUUUCUUCAGCCUA
rnacentral:lncRNA from 1 species